CCUGCGGAAGGAUCUUA
rnacentral:rRNA from 1 species